rnacentral:rRNA from 2 species
AAUCCAUAGGUUAAUGAGGCGAACCGGGGGAACUGAAACAUCUAAGUACCCCGAGGAAAAGAAAUCAACCGAGAUUCCCCCAGUAGCGGCGAGCGAACGGGGAGGAGCCCAGAGCCUGAAUCAGCAUGUGUGUUAGUGGAAGCGUCUGGAAAGGCGCGCGAUACAGGGUGACAGCCCCGUACACAAAAGCGCAUGUGCUGUGAGCUCGAUGAGUAGGGCGGGACACGUGGUAUCCUGUCUGAAUAUGGGGGGACCAUCCUCCAAGGCUAAAUACUCCUGACUGACCGAUAGUGAACCAGUACCGUGAGGGAAAGGCGAAAAGAACCCCGGCGAGGGGAGUGAAAAAGAACCUGAAACCGUGUACGUACAAGCAGUGGGAGCACAGGUUUACCUGUGUGACUGCGUACCUUUUGUAUAAUGGGUCAGCGACUUAUAUUCUGUAGCAAGGUUAACCGAAUAGGGGAGCCGGAGGGAAACCGAGUCUUAAUUGGGCGUUAAGUUGCAGGGUAUAGACCCGAAACCCGGUGAUCUAGCCAUGGGCAGGUUGAAGGUUGGGUAACACUAACUGGAGGACCGAACCGACUAAUGUUGAAAAAUUAGCGGAUGACCUGUGGCUGGGGGUGAAAGGCCAAUCAAACCGGGAGAUAGCUGGUUCUCCCCGAAAGCUAUUUAGGUAGCGCCUCGUGAAUUCAUCUCCGGGGGUAGAGCACUGUUUCGGCUAGGGGGCCAUCCCGGCUUACCAACCCGAUGCAAACUGCGAAUACCGGAGAAUGUUAUCACGGGAGACACACGGCGGGUGCUAACGUCCGUCGUGAAGAGGGAAACAACCCAGACCGCCAGCUAAGGUCCCAAAGUCAUGGUUAAGUGGGAAACGAUGUGGGAAGGCCCAGACAGCCAGGAUGUUGGCUUAGAAGCAGCCAUCAUUUAAAGAAAGCGUAAUAGCUCACUGGUCGAGUCGGCCUGCGCGGAAGAUGUAACGGGGCUAAACCAUGCACCGAAGCUGCGGCAGCGACACUGUGUGUUGUUGGGUAGGGGAGCGUUCUGUAAGCCUGCGAAGGUGGCCUGUGAGGGUUGCUGGAGGUAUCAGAAGUGCGAAUGCUGACAUAAGUAACGAUAAAGCGGGUGAAAAGCCCGCUCGCCGGAAGACCAAGGGUUCCUGUCCAACGUUAAUCGGGGCAGGGUGAGUCGACCCCUAAGGCGAGGCCGAAAGGCGUAGUCGAUGGGAAACGGGUUAAUAUUCCCGUACUUGGUGUUACUGCGAAGGGGGGACGGAGAAGGCUAUGUUGGCCGGGCGACGGUUGUCCCGGUUUAAGCGUGUAGGUGUGUGUUCCAGGUAAAUCCGGUUCACUUUAACACUGAGGCGUGACGACGAGGCACUACGGUGCUGAAGCAACAAAUGCCCUGCUUCCAGGAAAAGCCUCUAAGCAUCAGGUAACAUCAAAUCGUACCCCAAACCGACACAGGUGGUCAGGUAGAGAAUACCAAGGCGCUUGAGAGAACUCGGGUGAAGGAACUAGGCAAAAUGGUGCCGUAACUUCGGGAGAAGGCACGCUGACACGUAGGUGAAGUGAUUUACUCAUGGAGCUGAAGUCAGUCGAAGAUACCAGCUGGCUGCAACUGUUUAUUAAAAACACAGCACUGUGCAAACACGAAAGUGGACGUAUACGGUGUGACGCCUGCCCGGUGCCGGAAGGUUAAUUGAUGGGGUCAGCGCAAGCGAAGCUCCUGAUCGAAGCCCCGGUAAACGGCGGCCGUAACUAUAACGGUCCUAAGGUAGCGAAAUUCCUUGUCGGGUAAGUUCCGACCUGCACGAAUGGCGUAAUGAUGGCCAGGCUGUCUCCACCCGAGACUCAGUGAAAUUGAACUCGCUGUGAAGAUGCAGUGUACCCGCGGCAAGACGGAAAGACCCCGUGAACCUUUACUAUAGCUUGACACUGAACAUUGAGCCUUGAUGUGUAGGAUAGGUGGGAGGCUUUGAAGUGUGGACGCCAGUCUGCAUGGAGCCGACCUUGAAAUACCACCCUUUAAUGUUUGAUGUUCUAACGUGGACCCGUUACCCGGGUUGCGGACAGUGUCUGGUGGGUAGUUUGACUGGGGCGGUCUCCUCCUAAAGAGUAACGGAGGAGCACGAAGGUUGGCUAAUCCUGGUCGGACAUCAGGAGGUUAGUGCAAUGGCAUAAGCCAGCUUGACUGCGAGCGUGACGGCGCGAGCAGGUGCGAAAGCAGGUCAUAGUGAUCCGGUGGUUCUGAAUGGAAGGGCCAUCGCUCAACGGAUAAAAGGUACUCCGGGGAUAACAGGCUGAUACCGCCCAAGAGUUCAUAUCGACGGCGGUGUUUGGCACCUCGAUGUCGGCUCAUCACAUCCUGGGGCUGAAGUAGGUCCCAAGGGUAUGGCUGUUCGCCAUUUAAAGUGGUACGCGAGCUGGGUUUAGAACGUCGUGAGACAGUUCGGUCCCUAUCUGCCGUGGGCGCUGGAGAACUGAGGGGGGCUGCUCCUAGUACGAGAGGACCGGAGUGGACGCAUCACUGGUGUUCGGGUUGUCAUGCCAAUGGCACUGCCCGGUAGCUAAAUGCGGAAGAGAUAAGUGCUGAAAGCAUCUAAGCACGAAACUUGCCCCGAGAUGAGUUCUCCCUGAGACUUAGAGUCUCCUGAAGGAACGUUGAAGACGACGACGUUGAUAGGCCGGGUGUGUAAGCGCAGCGAUGCGUUGAGCUAACCGGUACUAAUGAACCGUGAGGCUUAACCUUACAACGCCGAAG